CCUACGGGUGGCAGCAGUGGGGAAUAUUGGACAAUGGGCGAAAGCCUGAUCCAGCCAUGCCGCGUGUGUGAAGAAGGCCUUCGGGUUGUAAAGCACUUUCAGUGGGGAAGAAAGCCUUGGGGCUAAUACCCUCGAGGAAGGACAUCACCCACAGAAGAAGCACCGGCUAACUCCGUGCCAGCAGCCGCGGUAAUACGGAGGGGUGCGAGCGUUAAUCGGAAUUACUGGGCGUAAAGCGCGCGUAGGCGGUCUGCUAAGCCGGUUGUGAAAGCCCCGGGCUCAACCUGGGAACGGCAUCCGGAACUGUCAGGCUAGAGUGCAGGAGAGGAAGGUAGAAUUCCCGGUGUAGCGGUGAAAUGCGUAGAGAUCGGGAGGAAUACCAGUGGCGAAGGCGGCCUUCUGGACUGACACUGACGCUGAGGUGCGAAAGCGUGGGUAGCAAACAGGAUUAGAUACCCGAGUAGUC
rnacentral:rRNA from 1 species